CACACCAUCGGUGCUCGGGCCCUAAAUAUAGCUGCAAGCAGCAAUGGCGGGCUCAAGCCAUCAGUGCAAACGCCACCCCGGUGGCAUCAGGUAAACUGUGCCCAGCGGGCACAUGCAUUUACAGUAACCCUCUGGCACUCAGGUUUUAAGGGAUAUGGCAAUUAACGGGUUAAUCCGAACCAUCAAGACUUUGAAAUCACAUACACAGAACAGUAUUCAUUAAGAAAGUGAAAUUAAAUGAUUAAUAAACUAUUUAUUCGAACCCUUGAUAUUUUCUAUUCUAAUAAAAGUCUUGGCUGUGGAACAUCUGUAAUAGAGUAGGCUAGCUGGAUGCAAAUAAAGUCAUGCCUUUUAUUUUUUCCCGUUUGCUAUUUCACAUUCCUGUCACUGAAGCGUUGUGGCCUAAGACACAGAAGGUAACUGAAACAAUGUGGUUUAAGUCCAGGUGAUCAUAAGGGGUCCAAGCACAAUGGUUUGUGUAGAUGAUGCAGUUAAACAAUGGACGUGUCUCUUUUCAAAUAAAUUAUUAUACGCACAACAUGAAAAUAGAUAACAAAUAUAGUGUCCCUUCUUCACUUUUUCAGUAAUGCGUGA
ensembl:lncRNA